CCAGUGCCCCAACACUUCUGCCACUGCCCAGUGCCCCAACACUUCCGCCACUGCCAAAACUGUCGUCCAGUGCCGCCACAAAAUGGAAAAACUCCGCAAAUACUACCGCACCGAAAUCCAAUGUCUCCGCUCCCUCCCUCUCCCUCGCCUCAUCAAUAACUCCAUCACCACUUCACCCUCCUCCUGGGUUCACUUUAAAUCCAUGGAUUCCAUGGAAGAAGGCCCCAACAAACCCCACACCAACACCACCUUCUGAAAAUAAAGGUAUAAGCUUUUUGCUAGUUUUUAUUGGAAUCUCAUGUUAAUAUCUUCAUAUCAUUCAUUUCACUAAGUUAACUUUUGUGCUUCUGGUUGUUGAUUCGCUCCAUGAUUGCAAAAGUGAAGUUAUUAGACCUUUGGCUUACAUCAUGCAUGCAUCAUAUGUGCCCGAAAAUGUACACAGCAGGGUCCAAUUUUAAGACAGUUCCCUUUUCAUCAAAUUGGUUCAACACCCUCUAUGAAAGCAUAGUUUAAAAUUUUCCAUCAAGAAUGCAAGUUCCGCUUUUACUUUCUUGUCUUUUCUCUUUCAUUUUCUAAAUACUAGUACUAAGACAAAGCAGCUGUUAAUAAAAUGCAAAGAGAGGAAUGAACAUGUUUUUUUUUUGGAUUAUGAAAAGGAUGAAUGAAAAAUGAGAGAGAGAUUUAUGGGAGAUGAAAAAGAUUAUGGUGAAAGUAGAUUGCAAUGAAUCUGUCAUUUGGGUCAGCCUUUAAACAAGGGAGAUUGAGAGCAUGCGAUUGGAGAUGGAGAUGAAGCGCACUGUUGCCAAAAACUUUCCUUAUUUUCAUGACCAUGCUUCUAAGGU